rnacentral:rRNA from 1 species
GGGCCUACGGGAGGCAGCAGUCGGGAAUAUUGCACAAUGGAGGAAACUCUGAUGCAGUGACACCGCGUAUAGGAAGAAGGUUUUCGGAUUGUAAACUAUUUUAGACAGGGAAGAAAAAAGACAGUACCUGUAGAAUAAGCUCCGGCUAACUACGUGCCAGCAGCCGCGGUAAUACGUAGGGAGCAAGCGUUAUCCGGAAUUAUUGGGUGUAAAGGGAGCGUAGACGGCAGUGCAAGUCUGGAGUGAAAGGCGGGGGCUCAACCCCCGGACUGCUCUGGAAACUGUACGGCUGGAGUGCAGGAGAG